AGAGUUUGAUCCUGGCUCAGGAUGAACGCUAGCUACAGGCUUAACACAUGCAAGUCGAGGGGAAACGACAUCGAAAGCUUGCUUUUGAUGGGCGUCGACCGGCGCACGGGUGAGUAACGCGUAUCCAACCUGCCCACCACUUGGGGAUAACCUUGCGAAAGUAAGACUAAUACCCAAUGACGUCUCUAGAAGACAUCUGAAGGAGAUUAAAGAUUUAUCGGUGAUGGAUGGGGAUGCGUCUGAUUAGCUUGUUGGCGGGGUAACGGCCCACCAAGGCGACGAUCAGUAGGGGUUCUGAGAGGAAGGUCCCCCACAUUGGAACUGAGACACGGUCCAAACUCCUACGGGAGGCAGCAGUGAGGAAUAUUGGUCAAUGGACGAGAGUCUGAACCAGCCAAGUAGCGUGCAGGAUGACGGCCCUAUGGGUUGUAAACUGCUUUUAUAAGGGAAUAAAGUGAGUCUCGUGAGACUUUUUGCAUGUACCUUAUGAAUAAGGACCGGCUAAUUCCGUGCCAGCAGCCGCGGUAAUACGGAAGGUCCGGGCGUUAUCCGGAUUUAUUGGGUUUAAAGGGAGCGUAGGCCGGAGAUUAAGCGUGUUGUGAAAUGUAGACGCUCAACGUCUGCACUGCAGCGCGAACUGGUUUCCUUGAGUACGCACAAAGUGGGCGGAAUUCGUGGUGUAGCGGUGAAAUGCUUAGAUAUCACGAAGAACUCCGAUUGCGAAGGCAGCUCACUGGAGCGCAACUGACGCUGAAGCUCGAAAGUGCGGGUAUCGAACAGGAUUAGAUACCCUGGUAGUCCGCACGGUAAACGAUGGAUGCCCGCUGUUGGUCUGAAUAGGUCAGCGGCCAAGCGAAAG
rnacentral:rRNA from 1 species